rnacentral:misc_RNA from 1 species
AACCUAGCACACCUGCGGUGUGUACCUGCGGAAGGAUCAUUACAGAGUUGCAAAACUCCCUAAACCAUUGUGAACGUUACCUAAACCGUUGCUUCGGCGGGCGGCGCGCCCUCGCGCGCGCCCCUGGGCCCCACCGCGGGCGCCCGCCGGAGGUCACCAAACUCUUGAUAUUAAUUGGCCUCUCUGAGUCUUCUGUACUGAAUAAGUCAAAACUUUCAGCAACGGAUCUCAGAUCGGAAG